rnacentral:rRNA from 1 species
CGCAUCUAGAUUAGACUUUGAUCCUGGCUCAGGACGAACGCUGGCGGCGUGCCUAAUACAUGCAAGUCGAGCGAAUCAUUAGGAGCUUGCUCCUGAUGGUUAGCGGCGGACGGGUGAGUAACACGUGGGCAACCUGCCUGUAAGACUGGGAUAACUUCGGGAAACCGGAGCUAAUACCGGAUAAUCCUUUUUCUCUCAUGAGGAAAAGCUGAAAGACGGUGCAAGCUGUCACUUAUAGAUGGGCCCGCGGCGCAUUAGCUAGUUGGUGAGGUAACGGCUCACCAAGGCGACGAUGCGUAGCCGACCUGAGAGGGUGAUCGGCCACACUGGGACUGAGACACGGCCCAGACUCCUACGGGAGGCAGCAGUAGGGAAUCUUCCGCAAUGGACGAAAGUCUGACGGAGCAACGCCGCGUGAACGAUGAAGGCCUUCGGGUCGUAAAGUUCUGUUGUUAGGGAAGAACAAGUACCGGAGUAACUGCCGGUACCUUGACGGUACCUAACCAGAAAGCCACGGCUAACUACGUGCCAGCAGCCGCGGUAAUACGUAGGUGGCAAGCGUUGUCCGGAAUUAUUGGGCGUAAAGCGCGCGCAGGCAGUUCCUUAAGUCUGAUGUGAAAGCCCCCGGCUCAACCGGGGAGGGUCAUUGGAAACUGGGGAACUUGAGUACUGAAGAGGAAAGCGGAAUUCCACGUGUAGCGGUGAAAUGCGUAGAGAUGUGGAGGAACACCAGUGGCGAAGCGGCUUUCUGGUCAGUAACUGACGCUGAGGCGCGAAAGCGUGGGGAGCAAACAGGAUUAGAUACCCUGGUAGUCCACGCCGUAAACGAUGAGUGCUAAGUGUUAGAGGGUUUCCGCCCUUUAGUGCUGCAGCAAACGCAUUAAGCACUCCGCCUGGGGAGUACGGUCGCAAGACUGAAACUCAAAGGAAUUGAGGGGGCCCGCACAAGCGGUGGAGCAUGUGGUUCAAUUCGAAGCAACGCGCAAACUUACCAGCCCUUGACAUGGCAGGAGGUUUCCAAAUGGAUUCUUCCCUUGGGCUGCACACCUGCAUGGCUCACUCGUCGAUUGGGAUCCCACACCCUUCACUCGCCAGAAGGGGUGACCC